rnacentral:rRNA from 1 species
CCUACGGGAGGCUGCAGUAGGGAAUAUUGCUCCAUGGGGGAAACCCUGAAGCAGCACCGCCGCGUGGAGGAUUAAGGUUUUCGGAUUGUUAACUCCUUUUGUUGGAGCAGAUAAUGACGGUAUCUAACGAAUAAGCACAGGCUAACUCCGUGCCAGCAGCCGCGGUAAUACGGAGGGUGCAAGCGUUACUCGGAAUCACUGGGCGUAAAGAGCGCGUAGGCGGGAUAGCAAGUCAGAGGUGAAAGCCUAGGGCUGAACCAUAGAACUGCAUUUGAAACUGUUAUUCUAGAGUAUGGGGGAGGUAGGUGGGAUUCUUGGUGUAGGGGUAAAAUCCGUAGAGAUCAAGAGGAAUACUCAUUGCGAAGGCGACCUGCUAGAACAUAACUGACGCUGAUGCGCGAAAGCGAGGGGAGCAAACAGGAUUAGAUACCCUAGUAGUC